UACGUAGGGUGCAAGCGUUAAUCGGAAUUACUGGGCGUAAAGCGUGCGCAGGCGGCUUUGCAAGACAGAUGUGAAAUCCCCCGGGCUCAACCUGGGAACUGCAUUUGUGACUGCAUGGCUAGAGUGCGGCAGAGGGGGAUGGAAUUCCGCGUGUAGCAGUGAAAUGCGUAGAUAUGCGGAGGAACACCGAUGGCGAAGGCAAUCCCCUGGGCCUGCACUGACGCUCAUGCACGAAAGCGUGGGGAGCAAACAGG
rnacentral:rRNA from 1 species